AAAAAAAAAUUACAAUAACAAUUUAUUUGGUCUUUCUUUACUUUAAAAGUACAAAAAGUAGAGAGAUAUCGAGUUAAAUAUCUUCAUCUAUAUAUUCUAAAAUAAUUCACCUUUAUAGUAAAAAAUGGAAAUGAUUGAACAUUUGAGUAGUAUAAAAAUAACCUCAAAUUAGUAAUAUUUAUAUCAAAUAGACAAUCCACACAUGGAAAAUCACAAAUUAAAAUAACCUCAAAAGUAUAAGCAAGAUUUCUUUCUGUAUGUCUUUUAUAUAUAUAUGAGCAUGCCCUAGAAUCAAACCAUGUACCUUGAAAAUAACUAGAAAGAAAGAAUGGAAAGAUAAUUCACGCUUGAGUAUAUGUGAAGUUGGCUGCGAUCACAUCUCAGCAAAAAUUUGUGUGGGGAGAAACAAAAUAGACAUAUAUAUUGGAUUAGAAGAAAAGAUAUUGUGAAUGGGUUUUCAUUGUCAUUCAGACGUGGAUGAAGUGAAAGGGCGAGAAUAGAGACAUAUGGUUGUUGUCUUGUAUUGUCUCCUUGGUGGUGGUACCAUAUGCGCCUAUUCUUGAUAAUAAGCCAUGUCUUUCUCUUCUUGUUUUCUUUUUUCCUGGAAAAUCAUGCCAAACACAGCUUGUUUACCUAUACUUCUUGCCUAGCUCAACUGACAACCAUAUAUUCUUGGAAAACAAUGAGAGCAACUAUAAAUCUUAUUACAUGACACACCCAUCCAAAUUUAAUGGGAAAAUGAUAAAUAUAGACGAGAAUUUCAUGCACUUUUCUUGUUCUUCCAUUUUCAAUUUCAGUGGAGAGAACAUUGCAUUUGUGGAGUUGACCGGCCCAAUGAUUGAGUGAUCUCAUAAUGUAGAAAGUCAAGGCUUAGAUUUUAGUGGUUAUAUUUUCCUAAACGGUUCUUUUAAUAAGUGAAACAUGCGCUCUUUAAAUAUGUUUAUUUAUUAGUAAUUUUCCAGUAGGAAUUAUCAAUAUAUUUUUAUGUUAUCGAUAUAAAAUUAAUAAUAAAUAAAUAUAUUUAAUAAAUUUUAACGAGUGCAAUAGAAAAACUCCCAAAUACCGAAAAACAAAUUAAUGACCAAAACAAUAAUUGUCUUGAAUUCCUGAUGGUUGUUUGAACCUUGGAUACCUACCUGCCUAGCUAGCUAGCUAGCUAGAAUUCAAAACAAGGCUUCUUUGGUUGGCUGUGCCUUGUUAUUGAAUAGACAUGUUGUGCUUAAAAAAUGUUGCUAAAGCACAACAAGCUAUGGUGAGCAUGAUGUACUUCGUAGGUUGUCUAACACUUGUUAAAUAAAGAAUCAUUCAAGUAAUUAACAGCUUUUAUUAUUGUCAAUAUCCAUAAGCAGACAGAUAGAAGUUAGAACAGCUCAUUUAAUUUCUUAAUCAAUGAUACUGAAAUUUUGAGGACCUGUCUUACAGAACAUAGAGAAUAUGCGAUUCCAAUCAGAUCAUAAAUUUGGCAUUUUAUUUAGUUUCUAAUGCGUCAAAACUCUUAUAUGUAUAAUAAGCUAGAGAGAGAGAAGGUAAGAAUUUUGCAGCUGCCCCAUAUAUGUAGUCAAGGAAACUCGCGUUUUCUGAUAAUGACACUAAGCUAGCAAGCUAAUAAUUCAGUCAAAGUUUUAUCUUUAUCCUCGUUCCUCAUCACAAUAUAUAGUUGAAAUUUAACACUCACUGGUUUGCAAACUACAUACGGCAUGGACAUCUUUAAUUUCUUGAUCUUUAUCCCAAUAGUACUAUCAUAAAUUAAACAUUUUUUUUUGUUUAAUUUUUAAAUUCUUUUUCUUGAUAGCUAUGCUUUCGUUUUUGUAUUAUAGAAUUCAGACAAUAUGUCAGUAGAAAAACCAUGGAGAAUUUAGGCACUAAUUAAUAAACCACAUGCGCCCACAUAGAAAAAAGACAAUAUUUGGCAGACACAAGUUUUCUGAGAAGUGGGUUUUGGAGAUUAAUGCAUGACUGACCUGAUAUGGAGCUUUUUCACCGAUUUGAAUUGUUUUGUUGAGAUCUUGACGAGACAGACAAAUGGUAGAAACAUAUCUUCUUUGUAUUAGAUUUCCAAUUGCAGUGCUAAAUAAUUAUAUCCAGGAGUAGUGGUCAUGAUGGGGAAGAGGGGCACAUGAAGAACUAACUCACUGUCACUGGAGCU
rnacentral:misc_RNA from 1 species